rnacentral:rRNA from 1 species
CCAAUCGAACCCGGAGAUAGCUGGUUCUCCUCGAAAUAGCUUUAGGGCUAGCCUCAUGGAGAGUCUAACGCAGGUAGAGCACUGAAUUCUUGAGGGGGCGUCAAAGUCUACCAAUAGAUAUCAAACUCCGAAUGGCGUAUAGAUAUACAUGGGAGUCAGACUGCGGGAUAUAAAUUCCGUAGUCAAAAGGGAAACAGCCCAGAUCUACAGCUAAGGUCCCAAAGUACAUGUUAAGUGGUAAAGGAUGUGGGAUUUCAUAGACAACUAGGAUGUUGGCUUAGAAGCAGCCACACAUUCAAAGAGUGCGUAAUAGCUCACUAGUCGAGAGGUCCUGCGCCGAAAAUUUCCGGGGCUAAAACACGAUACCGAAGCUUAGGAAUGUAGCAAUACAUUGGUAGAGGAGCAAUCUCAGAGUGCCGAAGCGCUACCGCAAGGAAGCGUGGAGUUCUGAGAAGAGAGAAUGCCGGAAUGAGUAGCGAGAAUGAUGUGAGAAUCAUCAUGGCCGAAUAUCCAAGGAUUCCAGGGUAAAGCUGAUCUGCCCUGGGUAAGUCGGGACCUAAGGCGAGGGAGAGAUCCGUAGUCGAUGGACAGCAGGUUCAUAUUCCUGCACCUGACAUGAUCAGAACUGUGGGGACACAGGAACAAAACCGGACCCGGGAGAGCAAAGACCGGGCGAAGCGAAGCUAGGAGUGCGGUAGGCAAAUCCGCCGCACAAUCCGAAAGCGUGACAGGGAGCGAAAUAUAAGUAGCGAAGCCGGUGGAGGGACUGUCGAGAAAAGCCGCUAUUGUAUCAUGUCAGCCCGUACCGCAAACCGACACAGGUGGAUGAGGAGAGAAUCCUAAGGCCGGCGGGAGAAGCAUUGUUAAGGAACUCGGCAAAAUGACCCCGUAACUUCGGGAGAAGGGGUGCUGCAGAGAUGCAGCCGCAGAGAAAAGGCUCAAGCAACUGUUUAGCAAAAACACAGGUCUAUGCGAAACCGUAAGGUGAGGUAUAUGGGCUGACGCCUGCCCGGUGCUGGAAGGUUAAGAGGAGAGGUUAGCGCAAGCGAAGCUUUGAAUUUAAGCCCCAGUAAACGGCGGCCGUAACUAUAACGGUCCUAAGGUAGCGAAAUUCCUUGUCGGGUAAGUUCCGACCCGCACGAAAGGCGUAAUGAUUUGAGCGCUGUCUCAACAAUGCACCCGGUGAAAUUGAAGUACCAGUGAAGAUGCUGGUGACCUGCGCCAGGACGGAAAGACCCCAUGGAGCUUUACUCCAGCUUGAUACCGGGAUUCGGUGUUACUCGUACAGGAUAGGUGGGAGGCUAAGAAGGAAGGACGCCAGUCUUUCCGGAGCCGCUGUUGGGAUACCACCCCUGUGGCACUGGAUUUCUAACCUACAUCCGUAAUCCGGAUGGGGGACAAUGUCAGGUGGGGAGUUUGACUGGGGCGGUCGCCUCCGAAAGUGUAUCGGAGGCGCUCAAAGGUUCCCUCAGAAUGGUUGGAAACCAUUCGAAGAGCGCAAAGGCAGAAGGGAGCUUGACUGCGACACCGACGGGUGGAGCAGGUACGAAAGUAGGACUUAGUGAUCCGGUGGUAUAAAGUGGGAUUGCCAUCGCUCAACGGAUAAAAGCUACCCUGGGGAUAACAGGCUUAUCACUCCCAAGAGUUCACAUCGACGGAGUGGUUUGGCACCUCGAUGUCGGCUCAUCGCAUCCUGGGGCUGAAGUCGGUCCCAAG